GCUGCGCCAGCGAUGGAAGCGGCAUCCUUUUGCAAAAACUAAGGAUGAGCCAUGGGCUUGCAAAAGAUACAGCGGACAGCGCGGUUUUUG
rnacentral:sRNA from 1 species